UCAGUAUCAUUAAUUGCUUUUUAUUGAGAUGUGUGUGUGUGUGUGUGUGUGUGUGUGUGUGUGUGUGUGUGUGUUUAUAUACACAACACACACACACACAUGAUUG
rnacentral:miRNA from 12 species